GCCGGGAUGGCGGAACUGGUAGACGCGCACGACUCAAACUCGUGUUCCUUCGGGAGUGAGAGUUCGAUUCUCUCUCCCGGCA
rnacentral:tRNA from 1 species